CCAGCUACUCGCAUAAACCCGCAGAUCUACUCGUUCGCAUCGAGUAGGUCAGGGGUUCGAAUCCCCUUAGCUCCACCA
rnacentral:tRNA from 1 species